rnacentral:rRNA from 1 species
UACGUAGGGUGCAAGCGUUGUCCGGAAUCAUUGGGCGUAAAGCGCGCGUAGGUGGUCAUGUAAGUCCGCUGUGAAAGUCAAAGGCUCAACCUUUGAAAGCCGGUGGAUACUGCAUGACUAGAGUACGGAAGAGGCGAGUGGAAUUCCUGGUGUAGCGGUGGAAUGCGCAGAUAUCAGGAGGAACACCGGUGGUGUAGACGGCUCUCUGGACCGUAACUGACGCUGAGACACGAAAGCGUGGGUAGCAAACAGG